rnacentral:sRNA from 1 species
AAAAACUUCUUCUAACGUUUU